UACAGAGGUCUCAAGCGUUGUUCGGAUUCAUUGGGCGUAAAGGGCGCGUAGGCGGCGGGGUAAGUCGGGUGUGAAAUCUCAGAGCUCAACUCUGAAAUGGCACUUGAUACUGCUCUGCUAGAGGACUGGAGAGGAGAUUGGAAUUCACGGUGUAGCAGUGAAAUGCGUAGAUAUCGUGAGGAAGACCGGUGGCGAAGGCGGAUCUCUGGACAGUUCCUGACGCUGAGGCGCGAAAGCGUGGGGAGCAAACAGG
rnacentral:rRNA from 1 species